UACGAAGGGGGCUAGCGUUGUUCGGAAUUACUGGGCGUAAAGCGCGCGUAGGCGGUGAUCUUUGUCAGAGGUGAAAGCCCGGGGCUCAACUCCGGAAUUGCCUUUGAAACGGGAUCGCUAGAGUCCGAGAGAGGAUGGCGGAAUUCCUAGUGUAGAGGUGAAAUUCGUAGAUAUUAGGAAGAACACCGGUGGCGAAGGCGGCCAUCUGGCUCGGUACUGACGCUCAGGCGCGAAAGCG
rnacentral:rRNA from 1 species